AAAAUGAUUCCUAUUAGAAGUUGUUUAUUAUUGCAUGAAUAAAUGCUACUUGUUUUAAAAGCGUUCUAUAAAAAAAGAAAAGAAGUGCUUUUUGAUGACUGCAAAACAUUAAUUGUAAGAUUUAUCUUCCAGAGAUUUCACAAUCUAGGUAAUCAAAGAUUCAAAUCAAAUGUAGAAUAAUCCAAACAAAAAUAUAUUCUAAAUAAUAUAGGUUAACGACCAUCAAUAAUAAUAAUUACAUAAGACAUAAAAACAAAAACAAAGCGGAAAGUUAUUCACCCAGGUCCACGCGGAUGAUGAAUAAAAUUAUUGGAAGCCAUCAAACAAGUUUACAAACCAAAAUACACAUUAACGUAUCUGUGUUUAAUAUAUCUGUGUAUAUAAGCUGUGGGCUUCGGACAUUCCACGCAAAGUCUUCAUAGCUUCGCAGUCAAGUUAUUGUGCUUAUAAGUUAGUGUUACUACACGAGAGUGAAUAUUAAUAUUUAAUUCGACAGCAAAAGAUGGACCUGCUACGAGUAUUUUGGCUGUUAUUGUCAAUCGUUACCAUUGUGUGUACGAACACUGGGCACGCAUUUCCCCACUACAUCCAGUGCCGAUCGGGGUGGCGACUUAUUUCCAUCAAAGGUCAAAGAAUUUGCGUACCCAUCGACUACUAUUCAUACAGUAAAUGACAGCAAUAACUACACA